AGAGACUAACAUGGCACUACCACCAUGACAAGUUGGACAACAGUUGGCAAACGUUUUGAUGACAUGUCAAGUUCUCAACGUGUUAAAUGGAUGACAUGGCUUGUGAAGACGUGGCAUUAUAUGCACGUGAAUCCGUAUGGUCACUCUAUGAUGACGGGUCCAGAAAGUAUAUGCCUCAGUAGCCUCUCAAGCCGACAUGUGGAUAACAGAUGUGGCAGUGUGGCUGACGUGCUCGCUUGAUGAUGACGUGGUAACAGCUGGCUAGGUCGAGAUGAUUUGGCAGGACAUUGUCUCUUGUUCGCAGUAAAGUAGAAACGCAGCCGUUUCUGUCGUAAUACAGAUGCCCGGGUGGAAAGGAAGCGAGAGAAACAGGAAGGCAGAAAAUGUUGAUCUUGGCUGCAACAAGGAAGGAUUUUCAGACGCUACAAUGAGCUCGGGCGGCGAUUUUGAUUAUAAAAUAUUGUUUUGAGUCUGAAUUGCUUCCCAAUGUUUUCUGGAUCUUUACCAACUCUUUGGAGCUCCACUUUCUUCUCUUGUUUGCAGUCUGAUAUUUUCAAUUUCUCCGAUUCUCAGAUUUCCACGCAUCAAUUUCCAAGCGCUUCAUAGGGAUCUGAUGACGAAGGAGAUGGUCAUUUGACAGUUUUAUGAUGCAUCUUAGCAGCAGAUUCAAGACCUCUAAGAACAGCAUAAUGAAUUACCUAUAUUAUACACCAAAAUUAAAUUUCCAGAUGUAAGUCACUUGGAUGGGAGAUUCGAAAUCGAAUAAUUUAUUUUUAUA